UACGAAGGAUCCAAGCGUUGUUCGGAAUUACUGGGCGUAAAGGGCUCGUAGGCGGCCAACUAAGUCAGACGUGAAAUCCCUCGGCUUAACCGGGGAACUGCGUCUGAUACUGGAUGGCUUGAGUUUGGGAGAGGGAUGCGGAAUUCCAGGUGUAGCGGUGAAAUGCGUAGAUAUCUGGAGGAACACCGGUGGCGAAGGCGGCAUCCUGGACCAACACUGACGCUGAGUGAGCGAAAGCCAGGGGAGCAAACGGG
rnacentral:rRNA from 1 species